UACGUAGGGGGCAAGCGUUGUCCGGAAUCAUUGGGCGUAAAGAGCGCGUAGGCGGUCCGGUAAGUCAGCUGUGAAAGUCAAGGGCUCAACCCUUGAAAGCCGGUUGAUACUGUCGGGCUUGAGUACGGAAGAGGCGAGUGGAAUUCCUGGUGUAGCGGUGAAAUGCGCAGAUAUCAGGAGGAACACCAAUUGCGAAGGCAGCUCGCUGGGACGUUACUGACGCUGAGACGCGAAAGCGUGGGGAGCAAACAGG
rnacentral:rRNA from 1 species